ACGACUCUCGGCAACGGAUAUCUCGGCUCUCGCAUCGAUGAAGAACGUAGCGAAAUGCGACUACCUGGUGUGAAUUGCAGAAUCCCGCGAACCAUCGAGUCUUUGAACGCAAGUUGCGCCCGAGGCCACUCGGCCGAGGGCACGCCCGCCUGGGCGUCAUGC
rnacentral:rRNA from 1 species